AGGAUCCUGCCUGAAAUACAACAAGCCCAUUGCUGAAUCCAACUGAAAAAAAAAAAAAUCUGUGGCCCUGAGUUCAAAUUCUAACUAUGAUGUAUAGGGAAUUGUGGUUUAAAUAUUGCAAUGGGCUACUUUUUGUGGGGAAAAUUGGGGGUUACAAUAUUUCUCACAGAUUAUUUUUAAACCAAGUAGUUUGUUGCCUUUCAUUUUUUUCUAAAAUUCUGUAUUAAGUAAAGUCUACAUACACAUUAACUAAGUACAGCACAUAUUUCCUCCAUAUUAUGCUAAAUAUCAACAGCCAAUGCAACAAUGGAUAGUUAGGGAGCAGAUGGAAGAGAUGAAGGGGAUUUUUCAGGCGAAAGAAAUUUUAAAGUUUCCUAUCCCCUAUUACAAAACUCCUAGUAUAGUUAAAUAUGUUCCUUUUCUGUCUACAACACUCUCUUCUCUCAAUGAUCUAUGCUAAUAUAAAAAUUAGCUACAAUAUUUGAGAAAAUUAAUCAUUAGGAAUCAAUUUUAAGAUACAAAAAUUUAAAAUACAAAAAUAUAAAUUUUUGAUUGUCUUUUUGGGAUUCCUUGAAAAUUAAAAAUUAGUGUUAAAAAUCAAGAGUUCAAUGUUGUUCUCCUGAAUUGGUCAUACACUGAAGAGGUAUUAAGUGUCAUCAUACCUUUUACAUUGGUGGCUUUCUCUGCCACAUGACUAUUAGAACAAAGGAGGGAAAGAAAUUUUUGAUCUGUAAUUAGACGAUUAACAUGAAAUAGCCAUUAUCAUGAAUAGCAAGGAGAAUAAAGAUUUGUAUUGUGACAGCAAUGGUACAUGGAUGGAUGGGAUCCUGUGCUAGAUUGUAUGGAAACAGUUCAUUGAAUAGAGAGAGGGCUGUGAUCAUUCAGAAGAAGAGAAAGUUUGAACUGUCUUGUGCUACCAAUAUGCAUUCUGUACAAGGUGAACAACGGUUGCUACUAAAGGUGGUUUGACAUAGAACAAAAUGGGGGUCAGAGGUCUCAGGAAUAGACUCCUGAACUUUACAUUUUUCUCUUUUUAGAAAGGUAUUAUGGCAGCCAUGACAGGCCUAUCUACUGUGGGCUGAAGCUGUAAAACAGUAAACUUGGGGUGUGUUAUUAUCCUCAGGAGAGAUGAGGAAAAGUGUGUCACAGGCAGGAAUGUAAGGUCAGUGGCUACUGUGCUUUUGGGAAAACUUUAUGUGACGAUUAAGCUAGAAUUAGCCCUAUUCUUGCCAAAAGCCACAGCUCCUUGUGGUAUUAUUAAAGAAAGCUACCUGACUAAUCAACCAAAUAACAUGUGGCCAAGAUUCUGAUGCCUCAAGUAGGUUGAACCAAGUAAUCAGUGAAUGUCUAUAAUGGGAUCUGCAUGAGGCCUCAUUUGACCAGCAUGGUUCUCAAUGAGCAAUUCCUGCAAACAAGAAGAAAGCAGAAUUAGGCCGGUUUGCUUCAUUGCUGGCUUGCAUCCACAGCAGUUCACAUUGUAUUUACUUUUUGAUUUUGCUUGUGUUUUUUUCUUUUCUUUUUUAAUCUUUGCAUAGGAGUGAUAAAAAUCAAUAUUCAUAUUUUGUUUUAAAAAUAUGUUUGUUCCCUAAUAUUGGAUCACAUUUUUUCACUAAUUUUGGUUCUAGACCUUAAACAGGACACACAUAGAUUUCUUUGAAAAGGAUCAAUGUGAUAUAAAUGAAUAAAGGAAAAUAGAAAUUUCAACCUGGGUACAAAUAAGUGGACAUACAGAAGUCUAAGCAAUCCUGUGGUGUUUGUCACCAGUAAAGAUGUAGAGCACCAAUAAAGAAUGCAGGUCUAGAUGCUUCACUAUAAUCCCCAGUAUAAUUCACAUAUGGCCUUGACCUCAGUUAACUACAGUGUGAUUGAAUGUCUCUUUAUGUUAGCCAAUUAUUGUUUAAAUUCUGUCAAGUUUGAGGAAUUAUAUAUGGCCUAUAGAUGAAUAAUGUAUGGUCUGUUCUCAUCCUUUUCAAGAUGCUUGGAGUGUUAUUUUAGUCAGUCUGAGGGCUAAAAUCAGGAAAUAUUGAAUGCUUUGAUAGAAAGUAUUUAGGGCAGUUAUUUUGAAAAAAAAACAUGCAGGAGGACACCUAGAAAGCUGAACCAAAAUAUUGAGAUAGUUUACCUAUAUGGGGCCAUGUAAUGGUGUAUAUUCAUAUCUAUAUAUCUAUAUAUCAAUAUCUUUAUCGGUAUUUGUAUCUAUAACUAUCUAUCUAUCUAUCUAUCUAUCUAUCUAUCUAUCUAUAUAUGUACAUGUUAAGGUAAAGAUAGUUUUGGCAAUUUUUAAAACAAUAUCCAGGAAAGUUAAUUUUUGAAGAUGAUGGAAUAUGAACCAAAAUCAGAGCUUGUUUUAGCAUAACUAAACUUGUUCACUAUUGUGUAAGGGCAACUGAUGGAACAAUCAUGUCAAAUCAUUCUCAAUGGAUUCCAGGUUUUAAGGGUUAUAGUGCAGUUAAUGUUACAGUCACACGGAGCCAGUGACUUACUGUGGAAAUGCUGUCAAAGGACUCUCUAAUCUAGGCAGCAGAGCAAUUUAUUUCAAAGGGUUGUUUUGCCCUGUGGCUACCACCAGAGGGCUCAGCAGGAAUUGUUCUUUCAACAGCUCCUGGAGUUACUGAACUAGU
rnacentral:lncRNA from 1 species